AUUGAACGCUGGCGGCAUGCCUUACACAUGCCAGUCGAACGGUAACGGGCCUUCGGGUGCCGACGAGUGGCGAACGGGUGAGUAAUACAUCGGAACGUGCCCGAUCGUGGGGGAUAACAAGGCGAAAGCUUUGCUAAUACCGCAUACGAUCUACGGAUGAAAGCAGGGGACCGCAAGGCCUUGCGCGGACGGAGCGGCCGAUGGCAGAUUAGGUAGUUGGUGGGAUAAAAGCUUACCAAGCCGACGAUCUGUAGCUGGUCUGAGAGGAUGAUCAGCCACACUGGGACUGAGACACGGCCCAGACUCCUACGGGAGGCAGCAGUGGGGAAUUUUGGACAAUGGGCGCAAGCCUGAUCCAGCCAUGCCGCGUGCAGGAUGAAGGCCUUCGGGUUGUAAACUGCUUUUGUACGGAACGAAAAGCCUUCUUUUAAUACAGGAGGGUCAUGACGGUACCGUAAGAAUAAGCACCGGCUAACUACGUG
rnacentral:rRNA from 1 species